UCGGGAAUUUUGGGCAAUGGGCGAAAGCCUGACCCAGCAACGCCGCGUGAAGGAUGAAGUAUUUCGGUAUGUAAACUUCGUAAGAAUAGGAAGAAUAAAUGACGGUACUAUUUGUAAGGUCCGGCUAACUACGUGCCAGCAGCCGCGGUAAUACGUAGGGACCAAGCGUUGUUCGGAUUUACUGGGCGUAAAGGGCGCGUAGGCGGCGUGGUAAGUCAUCUGUGAAAUCUCCGAGCUUAACUCGGAACGGUCAGAUGAUACUGCUUUGCUAGAGUGCAGAAGGGGCAAUCGGAAUUCUUGGUGUAGCGGUGAAAUGCGUAGAUAUCAAGAGGAACACCUGAGGUGAAGACGGGUUGCUGGGCUGACACUGACGCUGAGGCGCGAAAGCCAGGGGAGCAAACGGGAUUAGAUACCCCUGUAGUCCCUGAGCGGGCUGGCAAGGCGCAU
rnacentral:rRNA from 1 species